UCACUGCUUAAGGUAGUUUUCAGGAGUUA
rnacentral:piRNA from 1 species